rnacentral:lncRNA from 1 species
AUUUGUCGUACCUUUAAAAAAAAAAGAUAGGAAUUCGUACAUGAGACAAAGACAAUUUAAGAAUUUAAAUAAAGUCCUUUAAUUAUUAUAUAUAAAUUCGCAAUUGAGACAAUGACAUUUUAAGGUUUUAAAUAAUGCAACUGGAGACACGCAUUUUAUACAAGUUCCAGCUUUCUUGUUCUAUCAACAUGGUACCAUAAUUUCUCUCUCUCACGUCCCAGAAGUUUAUCUCAUCUUUAAACAUCGACAGAGUGAACUGAUUUUUCUGAAUAUCGCAUCUACUAAUGGCUGAGACGGUAUGAAAAUAUUACAAGUUCUAUCAUAUUUGAUUUUGAUGUCACUGCUUGGGCUUGUCUUUCACACAUGUUUCUUCAUCGAGUUUGUCACAUGUAACAGGUUACUGAAAUGGUACUAAAGGUUGAUCUCCAAUGUACUUCCUGCUACAAGAAAAUCAAAAAAAUUCUUUGCAAAUUCCCUGGUAAGUCUUCAAAUUCAUCCAUAUUCUGUGCUCGUUUUUGCGUAUGUCUGAACAAGAACAUACAUAUUUUCUUGCGAAUAUUCCAUGUGCGCGCACGCGCGUGAUAGGAGCUGACUUAUAUUCUUUGAUGUAAAUUUUUUUGGGACAAAAGAAAUUAGAGGGCAGACUUAUGAUGUCAAGCAAAAUACAGUCACAAUCAGUGUAGUAUGCUGCAGCCCAGAAAAAUUUCGGGACAAAUUGUGCUGCAAAGGUGGAAAAGUUAUCCAGUGUAUUGUAAUAAUACCGCCCCCGCCCCCGCCCCCGCCCAAGUGCACGCCAAAGACUUGCUGUGGACCAUGUUCUUUUGGCUACCCAGUUCCGCCGCCGUGUUACGCCGGUCAUUAUUGUUACGGCUAUGGGUGUAGCUGUAGGAGGGGUUGAUGCAAGAUUAUGUAAUAAGUAAUUUAUGAUAUAUAUAUUUUUACCGUGUCUGAGUUUGAGGUAUUGGACCGUGAUGUAAUAAUGGAGUUUUCAUGGGACAUAAAAAUAAAACCCAGAUGGCGAUUGAUUUGUUGGGAUUACUUAGGUGUCUUGAUACUAUGUAUAUGGAUUACAUGCUAUGUGGGUCAUCAAACUUUGAGAACAUGGCAUUCACGUCACUCACUUGUCUUCAAUUUAAUGUAAUCGGUUUACUCAACUUUAAUUACUUUCAACGUUUAAAUUAUCAUUAUUAUGAAAGGUUGAACUCCAACUUUGAGGAUCCCCAUCACCCUCCCCUACAGCUUUGUGAGGGAUGUAAAUCGCGGC